rnacentral:rRNA from 1 species
UACGUAGGGUGCAAGCGUUGUCCGGAUUUAUUGGGCGUAAAGAGCUCGUAGGCGGCUUGGCAAGUCGGGUGUGAAAGCUUCAGGCUCAACCUGGAGAUGCCACCCGAGACUGCUAUGGCUUGAGUCCGGUAGGGGACCACGGAAUUCCUGGUGUAGCGGUGAAAUGCGCAGAUAUCAGGAGGAACACCGGUGGCGAAGGCGGGUCUCUGGGCAGUAACUGACGCUGAGGAGCGAAAGCGUGGGGAGCGAACAGG